UCUUGAAAGCACAUGAUACAAGUAUUUGAAGCUUAAGAUGUUGAAAACGCCUUUAAAUCAAAACAUUCAUGAAAUCUUGAGCCAGAUUUUUUUAAAACAAAAUAUUCCUGAAAUCUUGAGCGGGAUUUUUGAAUUUUCACACACAUCCCAAAAAGUGAGACUUGAAGGCAAUUGGCACCACAUCGCCUCACAUUUCUCUUCUGAUUCUCUCUCCUUCCACUGCUCCUACACACCGAUUAUCCUUUGAGACCGUCUUCCCUUUUCUUCGUCAUCACCCAACUGUGAAUCCUCCCGGUAUGUCUCCUCUCUGUAUAAUCUUCUUGAAUCAUCUUUGUGUUAUUAAUUUUGAAAUAUACUUUGGUCUUAAGUGGUUCCUGCUUCUACGAUUAAUAGGGUUUUACUGUUACGUACCAAUCUAAAGUUGCAGAUCUAGGUUUUUGAAACCCAAUUUCUGCACUUAAGUUUGGAUAUUCUGAUAGCACUUCAUAAUUACACUUGAAUGAGGGUUUGGAAUCAAGAUCUACAUUUAAAGAAAAUGAGCUAGGGACAACGGUUUCAGCUCGGAACGAUCAGGCGUUAGGUUUACCUGUGGUUUCUUAGUGUGGCAAGGAGACACUCAGUAGCAUCCUUGGUUUUAAUUUUGGUACCUUAGGUGCUUUUAUUCGCUUGAGUAAAUUGGUGUCAAUGAACUGGGCUUCGGUGCUUCUAUUCGUCUCAUAAACAGUUUAUAUUUGCUUAUGCUGACUUA